rnacentral:lncRNA from 1 species
AGGAAGGCUAGCCCCGAUGCCCUCCAGGGAGGUUUGGCGGCACCCGCAGGCGCCACUGCGACGGUGUCGACCAGGCCGACAAGGAUUUCUCCUGAUCCCAACCUCCACCUCAGGCGCAUUGGAACCCGCCACCAAACCGACCACCACCCCGCGCCAACACGAACUUGAAGCUUCCCACGCCGUCUCACCACAACAACGCGAGGAGGGGCCUGCACGACAAAGAAGAGGAGCCGGGACUAGGGGGCAACACCACCGUCGGCACGCGGGAGGU